GUAUUCAAUGUUUUUACCACAGGAUAAGAAAAAAUAUAGUUGAAACAGCACUAUUUGUUUGUAUGUAACUUAUGUCUUCUUGUGCACGUGAUCAACGAAAUGGCUGCCGGUCAAUUAUGUUUUCUGGCCAAAAGGAACGCCGAAAUGGCUUACCGCAACCUGUCAUCAUAUACAAUAUAAAACAACAAUUUGCCUCGUGAAGUAUAUCCCCUCUUCUCAGUACUUUGUACCUUUACGUCUACUGUUUUAUUUCCAUACCACAAUAUAGUCGUUUGUGCAAGUUAUACAAACAUGUUGCUUAAAUAGAGAGGUGUGCAGCUAUAUAGAAAUUGAUUGCAAACGAUUGCAUUGUAGAUAAUUUUUUAAUAAUCAAAAUUAAUGUUCACCGUUUCAUCACAGACCAGUAUCAUAUCACCAGCCACUCAAAUUUUGGAUUUAAGAGCUCUGGAAAUUUAACGCUUUGUCGACAACGAUGUAACACACUGUAGUCUUGAAUUAAAGAAGAUAGCCGA